CUGAAACUUAAAGGGAUUGACGGAAGGGCACCACCAGGAGUGGAGCCUGCGGCUUAACUUUGACUCAACACGGGGAAACUUACCCGGGCCGGACACUGUAAGGAUUGACAGAUUGAUAGCUCUUUCUUGAUUCGGUGGAUGGUGGUGCAUGGCCGUUCUUAGUUGGUGGAGUGAUUUGUCUGGUUAAUUCCGAUAACGAACGAGACUCUAGCCUACUAAAUAGACCGCUGAUUGUAUCUCCUUUGUGUUGAAGCCUCGGUGGACGCAUACUUGGGGAAUUUAAACGUCAGUCGGUAUACUUCUUAGAGGGACAGGCGGAAUACAAGCCGCACGAGAUUGAGCAAUAACAGGUCUGUGAUGCCCUUAGAUGUCCGGGGCCGCACGCGCGCUACACUGAAGAGAUCAGCGUGUUUAUUGACCACUUGUUGGUAUCCUGGGCCGAAGGGUUUGGGCAAUCCGUUGAAACUUCUUCGUGAUUGGGAUUGAGCUUUGUAAUUAUCGCUCAUGAACGAGGAAUUCCCAGUAAGCGCGAGUCAUCAGCUCGCGUUGAUUACGUCCCUGCCCUUUGUACACACCGCCCGUCGCUACUACCGAUUGGAUGAUCUAGUGAGGCCUUUGGACCGGUUGAUUGCGCUUGUUUCGGCAAGCUGCUUCUAACUGGAAAGAAGUC
rnacentral:rRNA from 1 species